rnacentral:rRNA from 1 species
GACGAACGCUGGCGGCGUGCUUAACACAUGCAAGUCGAACGGAAAGGCCCUGCUUUUGUGGGGUGCUCGAGUGGCGAACGGGUGAGUAACACGUGAGUAACCUGCCCUUGACUUUGGGAUAACUUCAGGAAACUGGGGCUAAUACCGGAUAGGAGCUCCUGCUGCAUGUGGGGGGUUGGAAAGUUUCGGCGGUUGGGGAUGGACUCGCGGCUUAUCCGCUUGUUGGUGGGGUAGUGGCUUACCAAGGCUUUGACGGGUAGCCGGCCUGAGAGGGUUACCGGCCACCUGGGGACUGAGAUACGGACCAGAAUCCUACGGGAGGCAGCAGGGGGGAAUAUUGCACAACGGGCGGAAGCCUGAUGCAGCAACGCCGCGUGCGGGAUGACGGCCUUCGGGUUGUAAACCGCUUUCGCAUGUGACGAAGCGUGAGUGACGGUAAUGGGUAAAGAAGCACCGGCUAACUACGUG